CGCCGCCGCCGCCGCCGCGGGCUGCCUUGCGGUGACGUGUGCUUCUUCUCGCCCCGGCCCGGCAGUACUCCGAGGAGGCGGCGGAGUAUUACGAGUAUCCCUACUACUACACACAUAGCGAGGAGGGGCCCGCGCCGGGGGGCAGCCCGGAGCAGGACGUGGGGCCGCCCCCCACGGAGGAGCCCUGGGGGGCCGGCGAGUACCCGGAUUACACCCCGUCCCCCCGCCGGCACCCGGCCUCCCGGGAGGAGACGGGGCCCGAGGCCACCGCGGGGCCGGAGGAGGAGGAGGAGGAGGAGGAAGGGGCCGCCAGCCCGGCCCCCACGCCGGGACCGCCCGAGGUGCCCGCCGAGGAGUACGGGCCGGGCGAGCCGGCGGGCGGCCCCGAGUACGAGUACGUCUAUAAGGACUAUCCCGAGGGCGCCGAGCCGGAGCUGGGCCCCGCGCUCUCCGCCGAGAUCGGGCCCAGCGGAGGCGUAAGUGGGGGCGCGGGGGGCCCCGGCCGCCCGCCGCCCUCCUCGUGUGUCCGUCACGUCUCCUCCCGUGUCCGUCGUGCCCCCCCCGUGUGUCCGUCCGACAUCGGCUUGGCAUGACCGCGCCGGGGGCCCGCAGCAUGUCCCGGCGCCGUGGCCUCCCCGCUGCCUCCCCCAUGCUGUGAUGUCACUCCUGCCGCGCAUGACAUCAUCAUCCCCCCCCCCUCCCCUGCCAGGGGCCAUCUUAACCCCUUCCUCUCCGCUGAGCAUGGCGGCGCUGGCGUUAAUUACCGCUGCGGGACGAGGUAAUUCCCCCGACACGCCGCCAUCUUCUUAAACCUCCCUCUUUUGGGGGGGGGGAUUUAACCCGGAUCCUUCCCCAGAGCUCUUAAUUAGGCUGUGUUAACGGGGCUGCUGAUGGGGAGGGGGGCAGAGAGGGAGGACUUGGCCGUGGGCAGAGCCGGCCCCGGGCGCUGGCRGAGCCCCUCGUCCCCGUCCGCCGCCCCGGCCCGGCCCGGCGGGGUCCCCGGGUGCCCCGUACUGACUGGUCCCUCUUUGCGGUUAUAUGUCUGCCACCCCCAGGCUGUGCGCGGCGUCAGGGGCUACAAGGGCGAGAAAGGCGAGCCGGCCGUCAUCGAACCGGGCAUGUUGGUGGAGGGCCCCCCCGGCCCCGAAGGCCCCGCGGUAAGCUCCCGGCGCCGUGACGGUCGGCGUGGGGUGGCUUCGGUGGCUGCCCGGCGCCGGCCUCACGCCGUGCCUCCGYUCCCCGCAGGGCAUGUCGGGACCCCCGGGGACGCAGGGACCRCCGGGAGCCCCGGGAGAGCCCGGCGAGAGGGUGAGUAG
rnacentral:lncRNA from 1 species